UUGAAAAAAUCAACUAUGUGUCUAUGAAUUAUCUCCCCUUUAUGGUUCUUCUUCAUUGAAAACAUGAAGAAACAACAGGAAGUACAAGGAUUAAUGCCCAAAAUAAAGUGCAGACGAAAUGCAGACAUUGAUAAAACCAUUAUAAUGUUGGUAAAAAUAAGAUAUAUCAAGGUAGAUAGUACUAUGGAGUGCAAUUUCUCUCCAAAGUUUGUGAAUUGUGAUAAACUCAUUUGAUGAACCUCUUGCCAAACACUGAAACAGUGAAACACAGGCAGUACCAAAUGUUUGCUAUUUUUUCUGAGAAUGGUCUUAAACCAUCAGUAGCUCUAGAUCUUCACAUCAAUAUUGUAUUUCAAUUAAAUGAAGAAGAAAAAAACAAUUCAAAUUGUGCACGUCGCAUGUUAUGUUAUGCCAACAAAAAGUUUUCAUCCAGAUAUUGACCACAUCAAGGAUUCUGGACUCAAGUCGUUACCUUACAGAAUUAGCCUUAAACUAGCAAGUAGUGGACCGAAGGAAAAGGAUUUUAUUCAUCUUAUUAACUAGACAAUAAUCAUGUUGUACUUUGUUUCUGAAGAAAAUAAAAAUAGAUGUCAAUGAUGCAGUACUUGAAGGUGAAAUGAGGUUAAAUAAACAAGUAGAAAAGGGGAUUUGCCAACAUAUCCAGAAAAGAUGGAAACAACAGAAGAUAGUGAUGUAACACAGGCAAGAAUUUAAGUGAAUGAAACAGCAUCACUUCUAAAAAUAGCAUGGAAUUUUUAUCACAGAAAUAAUCCAGCAGUUUCCAGAUUAUGA